CAUUUUUGAGAAACUCAAUAUAAAUACUAUAAGUAUUACAAGGCUUAACAAACCCUCAAAAAUUA
rnacentral:tRNA from 1 species